rnacentral:piRNA from 1 species
UAGUCUCAAGAGACAGUUCCACUCCAUG